AUCAGAAGAAGAAGAGGGGAUUGGUUUCCCUGCUGGAGGUGCCGUUGCGGAGUCAAAAUCAGACGAAGAAGAUCAGAACCAGCACAACGGAAAGGCGCCUGCGAUCAGCUCGAUGUGCAGCGUUAAGAAGCUUCACGAUUUGAUCGCCUCUCUUGGGGAGGAAAAAAUACAGUAUGUCGUUGAGAUGGAUUUUAGGGGGGCUGCUGGAGCUGAAUACUUUGAUGGUUGGACGCUGAAGACCAAAGGGUAGCAGAAUUGGUUCCCAAAGCUCACCACUGGAGACCAAAGGAGCGGGGUCUGCAGCAGGGCAUCCAGCGGGAUCGUCGUGCUACAUUACGCAAGGCAGUGCAUGGGGACAAAGCUACAGCGGACUCUGUCUCCGCAGAUAUGAGAUGAAAUCGACCAAUCUAGGAUGAUUCUGCUUUAUGAGGUUUUGGGGCUAGCUGGAGACAUUUGGCAACUUCCAGCGAAAUUCAGAGUUUGCCAGACCGAUCGCUGAGGAAGUGAGCAAAGUGAUAUCUUGGUAGUAAUAUUUUAAUGUCACUCUUAUCAACCACCAGACUACAAUACUCUAAUAGUGGUCUUCAGCGCAAUGCCUCUGAGAGCGAACUGCGGCAAUCGCCAUGAUCGAAAUAAGUUUCUACAGACUUCUAAUUUGCCCAAGAGACCUUUUUUAUACAUUGCUAUGCAUUGUUUAAUUCGACUCUGGUUUAUAGAGUGUUUUUGUAAGGCAGUCAAGAAUUAAUUUA